rnacentral:rRNA from 1 species
UACAGAGGGUGCGAGCGUUAAUCGGAAUUACUGGGCGUAAAGCGCGCGUAGGUGGUUUAGCAAGUCGGAUGUGAAAGCCCUGGGCUUAACCUGGGAAUUGCAUUCGAUACUACUAAGCUAGAGUACAGUAGAGGAAAGCGGAAUUCCACGUGUAGCGGUGAAAUGCGUAGAUAUGUGGAGGAACACCAGUGGCGAAGGCGGCUUUCUGGACUGAUACUGACGCUCAAGUGCGAAAGCGUGGGGAGCAAACAGG